AACAAACGCUGGCGGCGUGCCUAAUACAUGCAAGUCGAACGGGGAAAGUAGCAAUAUGAGUACUAGUGGCGCACGGGUGAGUAAUACGUGGAUAAUCUGCCUUCAAGUGGGGGGAUAACUAGUCGAAAGAUUAGCUAAUACCGCAUAAGACCACAGGAUCUGAGGAUCUAGGGGUUAAAGGUUUUUCGCUUGAAGAUGAGUCCGCGCGAGAUUAGCUAGUUGGUGAGGUAAUGGCUCACCAAGGCAACGAUCUCUAACUGGUCUGAGAGGAUGAUCAGUCACACUGGAACUGAGACACGGUCCAGACUCCUACGGGAGGCAGCAGUAGGGAAUAUUGCACAAUGGAGGAAACUCUGAUGCAGCGACGCCGCGUGAGUGAUGAAGGCCUUCGGGUCGUAAGCUCUGUCGCAGGGGAAUAAGCAAGUGAAUGUACCCUGAAGAAGGAUCGGGCUAAACUUCGUGCCAGCAGCCGCGGUAAU
rnacentral:rRNA from 1 species